rnacentral:rRNA from 1 species
CCUACGGUAGGCAGCAGUGGGGGAUAUUGCACAAUGGGGGAAACCCUGAUGCAGCGACGCCGCGUGGGUGAAGAAGCGCCUCGGCGCGUAAAGCCCUGUCAGCAGGGAAGAAUAAUGACUACGUGUAGUCAGAUGCCCGUACCUUAUGAAUAAGCAUCGGCUAACUCCGUGCCAGCAGCCGCGGUAAUACGGAGGAUGCGAGCGUUAUCCGGAUUUAUUGGGUUUAAAGGGUGCGUAGUCGGUAUUUUAAGUUAGUGGUAAAACGUCGGGGCUUCACCUUGAUUGGCCAUUAAAACUGGAGUACUAGAGGACAGACGAGGUAGGCGGAAUAAGUUAAGUAGCGGUGAAAUGCUUAGAUAUAACUUAGAACCCCGAUAGCGAAGGCAGCUUACCAGACUGUUACUGACGCUGAAGCACGAGAGCGUGGGUAGCGAACAGGAUUAGAUACCCUAGUAGUC